UUGUCUUGCCAAAGGCAUCGCUGGGUAGCUAUGUGCGGAAGGGAUAAGUGCUGAAAGCAUCUAAGCAUGAAGCCCCCCUCAAGAUGAGAUUUCUCUUUCUUUGAAGUAAGACCCCUGAAAGAUGAUCAGGUUGAUAGGUUCGAGGUGGAAGUAUGGUGACAUAUGGAGCUGACGAAUACUAAUCGGUCGAGGACUUAACCAAAUAA
rnacentral:rRNA from 1 species